rnacentral:pre_miRNA from 1 species
GUUUGCCUGUGUGUGGGUGGCAUUAAGCACUUAGGACAGGUCUGUUUGCCUGUGAGUGGAUGGCAUUCAGUACUAGGGACGGGUCUGUUUGUGU